CUGAGUUUUGAACGGGUUGUAGCUGGCCUAAUAAAAGGCAUGUGCACGCCUGGCUCAUCCACUCUCAACCACUGUGCACUUUAUGUAAGAAAUGACGGAUGUUGGCAGUUUGUCAGUUGAAGUCUUUCUUAUGUUUUUAUAACCAACAUCAUAGUAACAGAAUGUACAAUUGCAUAUAAUGCAUUUAUAUA
rnacentral:misc_RNA from 1 species